CCUACGGGAGGCAGCAGUAGGGAAUAUUGCUCAAUGGGGGAAACCCUGAAGCAGCAACGCCGCGUGGAGGAUGAAGGUUUUCGGAUUGUAAACCACUGUCCCCAGGGACGAAAAUGACGGUACCUGGGGAGGAAGCUCCGGCUAACUACGUGCCAGCAGCCGCGGUAAUACGUAGGGAGCAAGCGUUGUCCGGAUUUACUGGGUGUAAAGGGAGCGUAGGCGGGGGUGCAAGUUUGGGUUCAAAAGUACCGGCUCAACCGAGAGGCGCACUCAAAACUGCAGCUCUGGAGUGAAGUAAAGGCAGGCGGAAUUCCUAGUGUAGCGGUGAAAUGCGUAGAUAUUAGGAGGAACACCAGUGGCGAAGGCGGCCUGCUGGGCUUUUACUGACGCUGAGGCUCGAAAGUGUGGGGAGCAAACAGGAUUAGAUACCCCAGUAGUC
rnacentral:rRNA from 1 species